AACGCGAAGAACCUUACCUGGGCUCGAAAUGUAGUGGAAUCCGGUAGAAAUAUCGGCGCCCAGCAAUGGGCCGCUAUAUAGGUGCUGCAUGGCUGUCGUCAGCUCGUGUCGUGAGAUGUUGGGUUAAGUCCCGCAACGAGCGCAACCCUUGUCCAUAGUUGCUAACGCGUAGUGGCGAGAACUCUAUGGAGACUGCCGGUGAUAAACCGGAGGAAGGUGGGGAUGACGUCAAGUCCUCAUGGCCUUUAUGUCCAGGGCUACACACGUGCUACAAUGGACGGUACAAAGAGUCGCGAUCCCGCGAGGGGGGAGCUAAUCUCAAAAAGCCGUUCUCAGUUCGGAUUGUUCUCUGCAACUCGAGAGCAUGAAGCUGGAAUCGCUAGUAAUCGCGGAUCAGCACGCCGCGGUGAAUACGUUCCCGGGCCUUGUACACACCGACUGUAC
rnacentral:rRNA from 1 species